rnacentral:rRNA from 1 species
CCCUUAGACGUUCUGGGCCGCACGCGCGCUACACUGACCAGUGCAACAAGCAUCCGUCCUUGGCCGACAGGCCCGGGCAAUCUUUGAACGCUGGUCGUGAUGGGGAUAGACUUUUGCAAUUUUUGGUCUUCAACGAGGAAUUCCUAGUAAACGCAAGUCAUCAACUUGCAUUGAUUACGUCCCUGCCCUUUGUACACACCGCCCGUCGCACCUACCGAUUGAAUGAUCCGAUGAAUAUCAUGGAUUGAGGAUGCAAGCAGGUUCGCCUGUCUUCAUCUUCGAGAAGUGAAGUAAAUCUUAUCAUUUAGAGGAAGGAGAAGUCGUAACA